rnacentral:misc_RNA from 1 species
GAUGAAGAACGCAGCGAAAUGCGAUAAGUAAUGUGAAUUGCAGAAUUCAGUGAAUCAUCGAAUCUUUGAACGCACAUUGCGCCCGCCAGUAUUCUGGCGGGCAUGCCUGUUCGAGCGUCAUUUCAACCAUCAAGCCCCCGGCUUGUGUUGGGGACCUGCGGCUGCCGCAGGCCCUGAAAACCAGUGGCGGGCUCGCUAGUCACUCCGAGCGUAGUAAUACAUCUCGCUCAGGGCGUGCUGCGGGUUCCGGCCGUUAAAAAAGCCUUAUUUACCCAAGGUUGACCUCGGAUCAGGUAGGAAGACCCGCUGAACUUAAGCAUAUCUAAGCGGAGGA